rnacentral:rRNA from 1 species
ACGCUCGACACCUACGGAAGGCAGCAGUGGGGAAUAUUGCACAAUGGGGGAAACCCUGAUGCAGCGACGCCGCGUGGAGGAAGAAGGUCUUCGGAUUGUAAACUCCUGUUGUUGGGGAAAAAGAGGAUGGUACCCAACAAGGAAGUGACGGCUAACUACGUGCCAGUAGCCGCGGUAAUCUGAGCGGGCUGGCAAGGC